rnacentral:rRNA from 1 species
UACGUAGGGUGCAAGCGUUAAUCGGAAUUACUGGGCGUAAAGCGUGCGCAGGCGGUUAUGUAAGACAGAUGUGAAAUGCCCGGGCUUAACCUGGGAACUGCAUUUGUGACUGCAUGGCUAGAGUUUGGCAGAGGGGGGUAGAAUUCCACGUGUAGCAGUGAAAUGCGUAGAUAUGUGGAGGAACACCGGUGGCGAAGGCGGCGACCUGGGACAAUACUGACGCUGAGGUGCGAAAGCGUGGGGAGCAAACAGG